AUUGAACGCUGGCGGCAUGCCUUACACAUGCAAGUCGAACGGCAGCGCGGGGCAACCUGGCGGCGAGUGGCGAACGGGUGAGUAAUAUAUCGGAACAUACCCUAGAGUGGGGGAUAACGUAGCGAAAGUUACGCUAAUACCGCAUACGCACUAAGGUGGAAAGUGGGGGAUCUUCGGACCUCAUGCUCAUGGAGUGGCCGAUAUCUGAUUAGCUAGUUGGUGAGGUAAAGGCUCACCAAGGCGACGAUCAGUAGCUGGUUUGAGAGAACGACCAGCCACACUGGAACUGAGACACGGUCCAGACUCCUACGGGAGGCAGCAGUGGGGAAUUUUGGACAAUGGGGGGCAACCCUGAUCCAGCAAUGCCGCGUGAGUGAAGAAGGCCUC
rnacentral:rRNA from 1 species